rnacentral:rRNA from 1 species
GCGGGAGGCUAACACAUGCAAGUCGAGCGGUAACACAGAGAGCUUGCUCUCGGGUGACGAGCGGCGGACGGGUGAGUAAUGUCUGGGAAACUGCCUGAUGGAGGGGGAUAACUACUGGAAACGGUAGCUAAUACCGCAUAACGUCGCAAGACCAAAGUGGGGGACCUUCGGGCCUCAUGCCAUCAGAUGUGCCCAGAUGGGAUUAGCUAGUAGGUGGGGUAAUGGCUCACCUAGGCGACGAUCCCUAGCUGGUCUGAGAGGAUGACCAGCCACACUGGAACUGAGACACGGUCCAGACUCCUACGGGAGGCAGCAGUGGGGAAUAUUGCACAAUGGGCGCAAGCCUGAUGCAGCCAUGCCGCGUGUAUGAAGAAGGCCUUCGGGUUGUAAAGUACUUUCAGAAGCGAGGAGGAAGGCGUUAAGGUUAAUAACCUUGGCGAUUGACGUUACUCGCAGAAGAAGCACCGGCUAACUCCGUGCCAGACAGCAGCCGCGGUAAUACGGAGGGUGCAAGCGUUAAUCGGAAUUACUGGGCGUAAAGCGCACGCAGGCGGUCUGUCAAGUCGGAUGUGAAAUCCCCGGGCUCAACCUGGGAACUGCAUUCACUGGCAGGCUAGAGUCUUGUAGAGGGGGGUAGAAUUCCAGGUGUAGCGGUGAAAUGCGUAGAGAUCUGGAGGAAUACCGGUGGCGAAGGCGGCCCCCUGGACAAAGACUGACGCUCAGGUGCGAAAGCGUGGGGAGCAAACAGGAUUAGAUACCCUGGCCACGCCGUAAACGAUGUCGACUUGGAGGUUGUGCCCUUGAGGCGUGGCUUCCGGGAGCUAACGCGUUAAGUCGACCGCCUGGGGAGUACGGCCGCAAGGUUAAAACUCAAAUGAAUUAGUUUGACGGGGGCCCGCACAAGCGGUGGAGCAUGUGGUUUAUUCGAUGCACGCGAAGAAUCCUUACCUACUCUUGACAUCAGAGACUUAGCAGAGAUGCUUUUGUGCUUCGGGACUCUGAGUGCUGCAUGCUGUCGUCAGCUCGUGUGUGAAAUGUGGAUAGUUCCCGCACGAGCGCACCCUUAUCUUGUGCAGCGAUCAGCGGACUCAAGAAACUGCAUGAUAACUGGAGAGGUGGGAUGACUUCAGUCUACUGGCUUACAGAGAUGGGCUUACACACAGUUGUCUUCUAUCACAUGGUC